GUUCUAUUUUUGUGAGUGCCAGCUUAGAGGCCCACGGGCGUGGGGAGAGUUUGGAGCGCAGGGUCAGUGUUGCCUUCUUAGCCUGCGGCAGUCCGUGGACACGCAGACGUUAUAACCCGACGCCGACUAGGCACCUCGCGCUAACAAUUGCCGUGCGCACUGAGCACCCCCACGUGCACGGUGGUCUCGUGACGGCACAGGCCAGACCCCUCCCCUCUCUGUACCACCCCUCCCAGUGCCCCCCGGCAGCUGCCCGGUGCUCUUAGAAUGAGCUCCAAACUCCCUGUGUAAGCCAACCCCUGCCCGCUCCGUCCUAGCCACAGCCACUUCUCCCUCUCCCCUUCCUCACCAGACCCCUCGUGCCUUCGGUGCUUUACACAGAUCUUCUGCACGAAACCCACUGAGCUCUCCCCUGGGCCGGACCUCCCCAGCGGGGGCCUUCACUCACUCACACCUCCGCUGAGACCCCACCCCUCCCUUCCCAUCCUUGACCUUCCCCUCCCUCUCCAGGACUACCACAUCUGGCUUUCUGCAGCCUGGCACUUUUCACCCUCCCAAACGAUCUUGCUCACAUGUUCUUUCACUGGCGCAUUACCUGUCCCUUCUUAGCUCUCAGGUAGCCCCUGAGAGCGUGGACUUUGCCCAUCGUGCCCACUGCUGUGAUAUCGGUGCUAGGGGCCCGGCAGGCUUGCCAUCGCCAUUUGUUACCUGGAUGACUGCAUUGAAUAAUCAGCACAACCUUAUGGGCCCCGUGUUAUGACUCAGCCCAUUUUACAGAUGAAAAAACUGAGACAGAGGGAGGAGAAAUAAUUUGCCCAAAGGCACAAGAUUGGGGGGGUGGAAAUGAAGAGUCAGGAUUUGGGGUCCAAGAACUGCUAAAUCCAAAUGGAGCACGGACCAAGAAGGCUCAGCUGAGGACUUCGGGACAAAUCAGAAGGGAUCUGGAGGCUCCCCGGUCUGCAUUUCCUGGGUCAUUUUUGUUCCGGCAGAAGCUAGCGUUGUCUGGGAACCAAAGAACCUGACUAUAGGUCUUCUCUGCCUCAGCCCAAAACAGGGGAGGGGGAAGUGCGUGCCUCUCAGACCUGGGCCUGGGGGUGCCCGCCAUUUAGGCUGCAGUGAUGGGAAGAGAUCAGUUCCAUAAAGACAGCUGGUCAAGGCCCCCUGGUUCUCUGCCCCUAAGGCCACUUCCCAACCCUCGCCUGGAUGCACCGGUCCCCCACACGCCCUCUGCACACCAGCACACUCCAAGGAACAGGUUCUCCUUGAGAGAGAGGCCUCUUGGGAACCUGCCUGUGCUCCACGAAAUGAGUGAUGUGGGGACACGUGGGAUUAUUAACCACAGUGCAGGAAGGGGUUGAGGAAAUUGUUGCUGGCCGCCCUUCCCUCCCCCGAGCUCUUGGCUUGGUGGGACACCGGCCCCCUUUCCUCACCUGCUCGUAGAUGUUUCUCAUCAGCUCCACGAAGCUCUGCAAGCCUUUUAAUUUGGUCUCCAGUUCGGUCCGCCGGAGACACUCCGCAUCCAGGUCCUGAGGGUGGGAGCAGUGAAUCUCCAUUUCCAGCAAGCUGUGCUUUCGGUCAAGUCUGCUCCAAGAUGCCCGCUCACCGCUCACCCUCUCCCUCCACCUCGUCUGCUUUGCUCGCUGGUAGGACACCAUUCCAUCAUGGUCCCUCUGGAGGGGAGAGUGUGGACAUUGCAGCCAGAGGGACCCACAGUGUGCUCUUGGGCAGCAGGCUCCAGAGCCACACUACUGGGGCUCAGAUCCUGGCUCCUCGCUCCCUAGCCACGUGAGCUCGAAGAAGCUACUUGCGUGCGCCUCGGUCAUGAUAACAGUGAUGUCACGAGGGUUAUGUAAGUUAAUACAUGGAGUGUUUGCAAAGUG